GUGAACAUGAUGAUUAGGUGAGUAGUUUGUGAUGGAUACGCAAAGCGAGUUGUAGUUGGUGUAAGGCAACCGAUUCAGCAAAUGAAUUUGGCCUAGGAGUGGUUGAAGUUAUGAGUAGUUUCGACUAUUAGUAAUUUCCGGUGAUGACCGAUAUCGCAUGUGAGUAUGUUUGGCAUACUUAAUAAGCAGACUGUGGUGAUACAGUCUGAAACACGGGUGGUAACACGAUUUUUAUCGUCCCGUCG
rnacentral:ncRNA from 1 species